rnacentral:lncRNA from 1 species
UUCCUGUGCCGAUGUGCACGCUUGCCGGCGACCGGAGUCGUCGGAUUUUGUUGCGGAAGAACCUUCCUUUUUGUCGUUUUUCCAUCGCCGGUGGUCAUCGCCGACCACCGAUUUUGGCCUCCUCUUGCCGUCGGGUCGCCUCUCCUCCUGCCGAUGGCCGUCCCACGCUGGUUGCACCGCCGGUCGGAACAUCAUCGAGGGGACCUCACGGUCCCCUGUUUUGGCCCAAAAGAAACCCACGGGAAAGAAGAAAAGAAGAAGAAGAAGAAGGAAAAGAAAAAAAAGAAAAAGAAAAGAAGAAGAAGGAAAAGAAAAGAAAAAGAAAAGAAAAAGAAAGAAAAAGAAA